rnacentral:misc_RNA from 1 species
GAUGAAGAACGUAGCGAAAUGCGAUAACUAAUGUGAAUUGCAGAAUUCAGUGAAUCAUCGAGUCUUUGAACGCGCAUUGCGCCCGCCAGUAUUCUGGCGGGCAUGCCUGUUCGAGCGUCAUUUCAACCAUCAAGCCCCCGGCUUGUGUUGGGGACCUGCGGCUGCCGCAGGCCCUGAAAACCAGUGGCGGGCUCGCUAGUCACUCCGAGCGUAGUAAUACAUCUCGCUCAGGGCGUGCUGCGGGUUCCGGCCGUUAAAAAGCCUUAUUUACCCAAGGUUGACCUCGGAUCAGGUAGGAAGACCCGCUGAACUUAAGCAUAUCAAUAAGCGGAGGA